rnacentral:rRNA from 1 species
AACGAACGCUGGCGGCAGGCCUAACACAUGCAAGUCGAGCGAGGACUUCGGUUCUAGCGGCGGACGGGUGAGUAACGCGUGGGAAUGUGCCCUUCUCUACGGAAUAGCCCUGGGAAACUGGGAUUAAUACCGUAUACGCCCUUUUGGGGAAAGAUUUAUCGGAGAAGGAUCAGCCCGCGUUGGAUUAGGUAGUUGGUGGGGUAAUGGCCUACCAAGCCGACGAUCCAUAGCUGGUUUGAGAGGAUGAUCAGCCACACUGGGACUGAGACACGGCCCAGACUCCUACGGGAGGCAGCAGUGGGGAAUCUUAGACAAUGGGGGCAAACCUGAUCAAGCCAUGCCGGGUGAGUGAUGAAGGCCUUAGGGUUGUAAAGCUCUUUCAGCUGGGAAGAUAAUGACGGUACCAGCAGAAGAAGCCCCGGCUAACUCCGUG